rnacentral:rRNA from 1 species
CCCUUAGAUGUCCGGGGCCGCACGCGCGCUACAAUGGAUGAAUCAAUGCGUCAUCCUGGCCCGAAAGGGUUGGGGAACCGCUGAACCUCAUCCGUGGUUGGGAUUGGGGUUUGUAAUUAUUCCCCAUGAACUAGGAAUUCCCAGUAAGCGCGAGUCAUAAGCUCGCGUUGAUUACGUCCCUGCCCUUUGUACACACCGCCCGUCGCUACUACCGAUUGGAUGGUUUAGUGAGAUCCUCGGAUUGGUCACGGCACGGUGGCAACACUGCGUCGGUGUGCCGAGAAGACGAUCAAACUUGAUCAUCUAGAGGAAGUAAAAGUCGUAACA